CGGUGCAGAAAGAUUCAAGCUGAAGAUCUUGUUGUUUGCAGAAGCCUGAGUAGCCACUUUUAAUACUGCUUCCGGUGACACCGUCAGGAAGAAUCCUGCUAUGUAAUAGACUUUGGCUUUUUCCACCAACUUCCAGUUCUUCUCCAAAUCAAGAUGCUUUUCCUUCUUGUAGCAAUUAGCAGCAGCAAGGUUAGCUACAAGUGACCUGUUAUCACUAGUGAUGCAGGCAGCGCAGGUUCCUGUUGGUUCUUCACUCUGCUCGUAGUAAUGGGCAUCCACAUGAGCUUCCUCAGCCUUCUUCUUUAAUAUUUCUCCAAAUUUAUCCUUGCCAAUGCACCCAAAGAAAGUUGCAGCUUUGUAUGGAUUCUGAAUCAUCCACUGGGCCACUUUGACAGAGUUUUGAGUAGAGCCACCAGCAUGAUAUUCUACUUUGAACUUUUUCACAAGUUCUUCAAAUAGUUCUUUGUGCUUCUCCUCCGCCAGAAUUUGGUCAUUUGGUUUCAGCCCAUACUUGUCAAGGAAGUCCUUGUCCACAACUGCACAUAUAUCAAGCAGAGGAUUUCCCAUUCCAAACAGGACAUUUUCACUCAGCUGCUUCGGCUCCAGCUUCAGCUUCUUGGCUUGCGGCUCCCCCGCUGCCAUCUUCGCGCUGGGCGGCGUGCGGCGCGCUCGGCUCGGCUCGGCUCGGCUCGGCUCG
rnacentral:lncRNA from 1 species